UACAGAGGGGGCAAGCGUUGUUCGGAAUUACUGGGCGUAAAGGGCGCGUAGGCGGCCUGCUAAGUCGAACGUGAAAUCCCCGGGCUCAACCCGGGAACUGCGUCCGAUACUGGCAGGCUUGAAUCCGGGAGAGGGAUGUGGAAUUCCAGGUGUAGCGGUGAAAUGCGUAGAUAUCUGGAGGAGCACCGAUGGCGAAGGCAGCUCUCUGGCCUGUAACUGACGCUGAGGUGCGAAAGCGUGGGGAGCGAACAGG
rnacentral:rRNA from 1 species